CAAACGACUCUCGGCAACGGAUAUCUCGGCUCACGCAUCGAUGAAGAACGUAGCAAAAUGCGAUACUUGGUGUGAAUUGCAGAAUCCCGUGAACCAUCGAGUUUUUGAACGCAAGUUGCGCCCAAAGCCAUUCGGCCGAGGGCACGUCUGCCUGGGCGUCACGC
rnacentral:rRNA from 4 species